rnacentral:rRNA from 1 species
GACGAACGCUGGCGGCGGGCUUAACACAUGCAAGUCGAACGGAAAGGCCCUGCUUUUGUGGGGUGCUCGAGUGGCGAACGGGUGAGUAACACGUGAGUAACCUGCCCUUGACUUUGGGAUAACUUCAGGAAACUGGGCUUAAUACCGGAUAGGAGCUCCUGUUGCAUGGUGGGGGUUGGAACGUUUCGGCGGUUGGGGAUGGACUCGCGGCUUAUCGGCUUGUUGGUGGGGUAGUGGCUUACCAAGGCUUUGACGGGUAGCCGGCCUGAGAGGGUGGCCGGCCACAUUGGGACUGAGAUACGGCCCAGACUCCUACGGGAGGCAGCAGUGGGGAAUAUUGCACAAUGGGCGGAAGCCUGAUGCAGCAACGCCGCGUGCGGGAUGACGGCCUUCGGGUUGUAAACCGCUUUCGCCUGUGACGAAGCGUGAGUGACGGUAAUGGGUAAAGAAGCACCGGCUAACUACGUG